rnacentral:rRNA from 1 species
UGCGUAGGUGGUCUUGUAAGUCAGAAGUGAAAGGCUACGGCUUAGCCGUAGUAAGCUUUUGAAACUGCAGGACUUGAGUGCAGGAGAGGAAAGUGGAAUUCCUAGUGUAGCGGUGAAAUGCGUAGAUAUUAGGAGGAACACCAGUGGCGAAGGCGACUUUUUGGACUGUUACUGACACUGAGGCACGAAAGCGUGGGGAGCGAACA